CUCUACAAGUGUGACAUCAGCGGUCAUGGAGAGUCUCCAUCCAGCUGGAUCACUGUCACAGGGGAACACACCACCACACCUACAUUCACAACUCCACCUACAUCCACACCUCCCCCUAUAUACACACUUCCACCUACAUCUGGACUUUCACUUACAUCGUCCUCUGCAUCAUUCGUUCCUGGUCUUCUUCCUGUCUUGCUGACUGUUGCAUCAGUCUGUGCUGCAAUGCUGAGAUGACACGGUUACAGUAAACUCAAAGAUAAACAAGAAGGAGCUGGAUGAGACAACAUCACCAGUGCCAUCAUGCAUUUUCACCGUCUAUGAGGACAUUUUUAUCAAUAACAUUAUUAUUACUGUUUCUCUCGAUUGCAGAGACUCGUUUCUUAAAAUGAUGUCUCCUAAAACUUUAUACACAAAGUCACAACUACACAGCCACUUCCAACAAAACCUCUAUUUACCAGGUUAAAAGCAAACUUUGCCUAAAUAUAUCACAUAAAGCCCUCAAAACACACAAACAACAGCA